CCGUCUACUCUGGAAAGUUUUGGUUUUCUCAGUUUUUUCCAUUUUCACAGUAUAUUGAUAAUUCAUAUCUAAUUCUGAAUAUUUAUGGGAUGCAUUAUCUGGUUGUUGUACGUAAAUCCUUGUUUGAUUGUUACAGGAUGUUAGAGGCUUACACGAUGCAUUUCAUAGAUAGAUAUACAGAUGGUAUUGGACCUUUCACUUGUUUCUGUUUUUUUUCAGUGUGAUCAUCAUUGGUGGAUUUGGCAUUGGACAAGUUUGAAUACAUCACAUUUCAAUCAAGUUUGUGUUCUACAUGUUAUUCAGGACUUUGUUUGAAUUCCUGACGUUAUAUUAGACUGUUUUUUCGCAUCAAAGAAAGAGGAAGUCAUGUGUCUGUCAGGGCUUUAUAUAUGGAUGUGAUGCCUGUUACUGAUUGGUUUAAAGUUUAUUGAUUGACUUGUGCUGCUGGAGGCAUAAAGUAUAGAAAGUUAUGCAAAAUACUCCUCCUGUCAUUACUAAAAUGAAGAUUAUAGAUACACUACGUUAGCAUAAUAUACAUAUAAUUGUAGAUGUAUACACACUAAUAUGAUUUGAUUUUUAGAGAAAAGCAAGAAUGAAGCCUUAGGGGUCAGACAUACGAAAGGACUAUGUGGGUAUAAAGGGUCCUAAACUCUAAAUUGUUUAAUUACAAGAAAUAUUGCCUCAGAGGGUGAAAGAGUGAAGGACGACCUGCCUUUCCUCUAACACUCCCCCCAGGUAUACCCACAAUGGUAAAGAUAACUCGUGGGGCACGUAUAGAAUGACAAUAACACGGCAAGGGAGAGACUGUUUGAAUAUAGUUCUUUCUACUUAUUACAAGUUGAAUAUAUAAAGGGAAGGUAGAGACCAUCUGAAUAUAGUCCCAUCUACUUAUUAUAAGUUGAAGAUAUACAGGUUACAAUAUCCUGAGCUCUCAUCAUAUAUUUAGAAUCAGAUAUUAUUUAAACCAAUUGUAAUAUAUUGCCAGCUACUAGCUUUUGACUUCAAUCCCCCAAGUAAGAUAUCUGACUAUUAUGUUGAUCGCAUAGACCAACUUAUUAGUAGCCUUUUACAGUCAGCUAUAUACAUAUAUACAUACAAGAGACUAUUUAGGCAGCAUCGAGCCUUCCCUUUUUAAAUUCACUAGCACUGUGUGUUUCACUUAUGUCACUAUUUUUUGUCCUUAAAGAUAUUUUUAAAUAGAAUUUAAUAAAGAUAUGUUUUAGUUUCAACCUCUAUUCUAUACGUGUCCCACGAGUUAUCUUUACCAUUGUGGGUAUACCUGGGGGGAGUGUUAGAGGAAAGGCAGGUCGCCCAAUUUUUCUCGUAAUGAUUAGAUUUUUGUAUAGAUGAAUGUAUUUAUCAGUUAUUCGUAUAGGUUAGAUGAAUAAAUGAUAUAAACAUAACAUCUAAUGAUUUAUAUAACCAAACCGGUCUUUGGUUACAGAAUAUCCAUAACCAAAGACCAAUGUUUAACCCCUUCAGGACUGGACUGUUUUGGCCAUAUUGUAUGUAAAGGACCAGGGCUGUUUUAACACUAUUGUGGUGUUUGUGUUUAGCUGUAAUUUUCCUCUCAUUUACUGUUCCCAUACAAGUUAUAUAUAUUUUUUUUCAGGACAAGAAGGCCGUUCUUUACAGACCAUUAUUUGUAUCAUGUCAUAAUUUACUUUAAAAAAAAUAAAAUAUGGUGACAAAUUUAAAAAAAACAAACAAAAAACAUGUUUGACUUUUACUUGAAAAAUCUUUUACUUAUCUACAAAAGCCAAUGAAAAAAAAACGCUAAAUAGAUUCAAAAUUUUGUCCUGACUUUUUAAAACAUGGAGAGCAAAAAACAGGUCGCAAGAGUAUUCUGAGAACGGACAGCAACUGAAAUAGCCUCAAGCUGGUUUUAGCUCAUCUUGUGCCAUUACAGAGAGAACAUCUCAAACAUAUCAGACUGGUCCCACCCAUACGGGGAGUACAGAUCCGAAAUGCCAGCAAGUUCCCUCUGGACGAGAGACACAGCAACCCCAGACGAUCGUUUUAGCCUUGUUAGGCAUCAUCAGUGAGGCAAAACUGAUAUCUAGUCAGAGUGAGCAAGGGGUCCACGUCUGGAUUACCCUUUAAACUUAUGGAGAGCAAAAACCAGGUCGCAAGAGUAUUCGGAGUUUAAAAACACCUAGUGUUUACAUGCCUUUUUUUUGUGCAAGUUAUACGGCUAUAAGUACAAGUAGGAAAUUGCUGUUUCAAAAUAUAUAUUUUUAAAAUGUAUCAGUAGUGACGUUGUAACACUUAUCUGUCAAAUCUCUGAAUCACACCUCACAUGUACAUAUUUUUUUUUUUAAAGUAGACAACCCGGGGUAUUCAAUAUGGGGUAUGUCCAGUC
rnacentral:lncRNA from 1 species